GUAGUCUCCCAGUGUAGUUAGUCGGCGCUUCCCGGAAGUGACGCGAGGACCCGCCUUCUCUCUCGGCGUUUCCGCUGUCAGGGCCCUGCGGUGUGACUCGCGGGCUCAGCUGGUCCGGCCGUAGCACCUCCGCGCCGUCGCCAUGUCGCGGUUUUUCACCACCGGUUCGGACAGCGAGUCCGAGUCGUCCCUGUCCGGGGAGGAGCUCGUCACCAAACCUGUCGGAGGCAACUAUGGCAAACAGCCAUUGUUGCUGAGCGAGGAUGAAGAAGAUACCAAGAGAGUUGUCCGCAGUGCCAAGGACAAGAGGUUUGAGGAGCUGACCAACCUUAUCCGGACCAUCCGUAAUGCCAUGAAGAUUCGUGAUGUCACCAAGUGCCUGGAAGAGUUUGAGCUCCUGGGAAAAGCAUAUGGGAAGGCCAAAAGCAUUGUGGACAAAGAAGGUGUCCCCCGGUUCUAUAUCCGCAUCCUGGCUGACCUAGAGGACUAUCUUAAUGAGCUUUGGGAAGAUAAGGAAGGGAAGAAGAAGAUGAACAAGAACAAUGCCAAGGCUCUGAGCACCUUGCGUCAGAAGAUCCGAAAAUACAACCGUGAUUUCGAGUCCCAUAUCACAAGCUACAAGCAGAACCCCGAGCAGUCUGCGGAUGAAGAUGCUGAGAAAAAUGAGGAGGAUUCAGAAGGCUCUUCAGAUGAGGAUGAGGAUGAGGACGGAGUCAGUGCUGCAACUUUCUUGAAGAAGAAAUCAGAAGCUCCUUCUGGGGAGAGUCGCAAGUUUCUCAAAAAGAUGGAUGAUGAAGAUGAGGACUCAGAAGAUUCCGAAGAUGAUGAAGACUGGGACACAGGUUCCACAUCUUCCGAUUCAGACUCAGAGGAGGAAGAAGGGAAACAAACCGCGCUGGCCUCAAGAUUUCUUAAAAAGGCACCCACCACAGAUGAGGACAAGAAGGCAGCCGAGAAGAAACGGGAGGACAAAGCUAAGAAGAAGCACGACAGGAAAUCCAAGCGCCUGGAUGAGGAGGAGGAGGACAAUGAAGGCGGGGAGUGGGAAAGGGUCCGGGGCGGAGUGCCGUUGGUUAAGGAGAAGCCAAAAAUGUUUGCCAAGGGAACUGAGAUCACCCAUGCUGUUGUUAUCAAGAAACUGAAUGAGAUCCUACAGGCACGAGGCAAGAAGGGAACUGAUCGUGCUGCCCAGAUUGAGCUGCUGCAACUGCUGGUUCAGAUUGCAGCGGAAAACAACCUGGGAGAGGGCGUCAUUGUCAAGAUCAAGUUCAAUAUCAUCGCCUCUCUCUAUGACUACAACCCCAACCUGGCAACCUACAUGAAGCCAGAGAUGUGGGGGAAGUGCCUGGACUGCAUCAAUGAGCUGAUGGAUAUCCUGUUUGCAAAUCCCAACAUUUUUGUUGGAGAGAAUAUUCUGGAAGAGAGUGAGAACCUGCACAACGCUGACCAGCCACUGCGUGUCCGUGGCUGCAUCCUAACUCUGGUGGAACGAAUGGAUGAAGAAUUUACCAAAAUAAUGCAAAAUACUGACCCUCACUCCCAAGAGUACGUGGAGCACUUGAAGGAUGAGGCCCAGGUGUGUGCCAUCAUCGAGCGUGUGCAGCGCUACCUGGAGGAGAAGGGCACUACCGAGGAGGUCUGCCGCAUCUACCUGCUGCGCAUCCUGCACACCUACUACAAGUUUGAUUACAAGGCCCAUCAGCGGCAGCUGACCCCGCCUGAGGGCUCCUCAAAGUCUGAGCAAGACCAGGCAGAAAAUGAGGGCGAGGACUCGGCUGUGUUGAUGGAGAGACUGUGCAAGUACAUCUACGCCAAGGACCGCACAGACCGGAUCCGCACAUGCGCCAUCCUCUGCCACAUCUACCACCAUGCUCUGCACUCCCGCUGGUACCAGGCCCGCGACCUCAUGCUCAUGAGCCACUUGCAGGACAACAUUCAGCAUGCAGACCCGCCAGUGCAGAUCCUUUACAACCGCACCAUGGUGCAGCUGGGCAUCUGUGCCUUCCGCCAAGGCCUGACCAAGGACGCACACAACGCCCUGCUGGACAUCCAGUCGAGUGGCCGAGCCAAGGAGCUUCUGGGCCAGGGCCUGCUGCUGCGCAGCCUGCAGGAGCGCAACCAGGAGCAGGAGAAGGUGGAGCGGCGCCGUCAGGUCCCCUUCCACCUGCACAUCAACCUGGAGCUGCUGGAGUGUGUCUACCUGGUGUCUGCCAUGCUCCUGGAGAUCCCCUACAUGGCCGCCCAUGAGAGCGAUGCCCGCCGACGCAUGAUCAGCAAGCAGUUCCACCACCAGCUGCGCGUGGGCGAGCGACAGCCCCUGCUGGGUCCCCCUGAGUCCAUGCGGGAACAUGUGGUCGCUGCCUCCAAGGCCAUGAAGAUGGGUGACUGGAAGACCUGUCACAGUUUUAUCAUCAAUGAGAAGAUGAAUGGGAAAGUGUGGGACCUUUUCCCCGAGGCUGACAAAGUCCGCACCAUGCUGGUUAGGAAGAUCCAGGAAGAGUCACUGAGGACCUACCUCUUCACCUACAGCAGUGUCUAUGACUCCAUCAGCAUGGAGACGCUGUCAGACAUGUUUGAGCUGGAUCUGCCCACUGUGCACUCCAUCAUCAGCAAAAUGAUCAUUAAUGAGGAGCUGAUGGCCUCCCUGGACCAGCCAACACAGACAGUGGUGAUGCACCGCACUGAGCCCACUGCCCAGCAGAACCUGGCUCUGCAGCUGGCCGAGAAGCUGGGCAGCCUGGUGGAGAACAACGAACGGGUGUUUGACCACAAGCAGGGCACCUACGGGGGCUACUUCCGAGACCAGAAGGACGGCUACCGCAAAAACGAGGGCUACAUGCGCCGCGGUGGCUACCGCCAGCAGCAGUCUCAGACGGCCUACUGAGCUCUCCACUCUGUUUCCCGCCUAGACCAUCCAACCUUGAAGUCCUAAACCACACCUCAGUCACUAAAGGUUGGCAAUCAUCAUGAGCCCCUGUUCUCAUUCUGCAAAUGGUGAAGCUCUCUAUUGUCCUGACCCCACAGUUCCUGUUCCAUGAGCAGGGCCAGCUCACCAAGGAGCUGCAGCAGCACGUAAAGUCAGUGACAUGCCCAUGCGAGUACCUGAGGAAGAUGAUCCUACACCUGCCACCUCCGAUGGAUCCACUGCGUCUGUGCCUGCCUGUACUGCUGAUGCUCCAGUGGAUAACUCAGCAUCCCAGCCUAGGCCCAAUGCCACUGAAGAUGGACCUGCCCCCUGGGGACCCAGGAGGCCUACCACUCAGCUGUCCCCAGGAGUGCCCAGACCCUCAUUGUUAUCCAGGACCUAGGAGCCCUACCCCUGGCCUUCCCUCAUCAGCCGUAAAUGAUGAUUUACUGCUGUUACCAUCAUCACUGCCUUCAGUGACCAAGGGCCUUCCAAGGUGCCAGCUCUGGAACGAAGGAUGCCCUUGGGAGGUGAUGACACUCAGGUACACGGGUGCUCAACAGAUUGCUUCCUCCUAUCCUCAGACGGUCUUUGCAUGCUUGCAGCCAUUGGCACUCCCAUUGUAUGGAAGGAAACCAGCCCAGGGUCACACAGCUGGUCAGCAGCAAAAUAGCUGGUCUCAAAUCUAAGGUGCCUGGCCAUGCCUCCAUGAGGGACCGCCUGCAAGGGAGGUUGAUCCUGGCUUUGGGGAGCCUUUCCUGGGCUGCAUGAAUAACCUCCAUUGUUCGAGACCCCAAACUCUGCUCACAUCUUCCUUUCCCUGUCUCUGCUUGGGCUAUGAUCACGGUGACUCUAGCAGCCCUUCAUGGACAUUAUACUACUCUCUGCCAUUCACUUUUGCUCUAAUCUGACUUCAACCCCCACUUACUUGGUCUCUCCUUUUACAACCAACACAACCGAAAUCUAGGGCUUUUUUUUUUUUUUUUUUUUUUUUUU